UUAGGGAGUCAUGCAUCUGGACACAGAGAUUGACUUUCGGUUCUGGUUCCCCAGAGAAGUGUUCUUUGGUGGGAAAACAAGCCCUGAGUCAAAAUCUCCCCCAUUUUCUCGCCGUAAUUAUUAUCAACAACAAAAAGGAGUUCAACAGGCUAAUCGCAGAAGCCUGAGAAUCGCAGCCAGGCAUUCAGCUGAUUAAGACUGCUUUCAUGAGAAACUUUAGGGAGUCAUGCAUCUGGACACAGAGAUUGACUUUCGGUUCUGGUUCCCCAGAGAAGUGUUCUUUGGUGGGAAAACGAGACCCUAUUUAGGUUCUUUGCCCUGUAGGAAUCUUGCGGAGUCAUUUCAUCAGCUACUGGAGUAGGUUGUGUGUGGACAGCGCUACUCCCGUUUCCAAGCCUUCGUUCCCGUUUCCAGCCUUGUUUUGCUUCACGGACCUUGCCUUGCUACCUAGGACUCAGCCUUGCUUUCCAGGACCUUGCCUUGCUUCCCGGACCUUGCCAAGCUUCCCGGACCUUGCCAAGUAUUUACCACGGAUCUUGUCCCUGAACCUCGUUCCUUGUUGCCUUGUAUCAAGUUUACUUCCUAGCCUUACAUCAAGUUCCUUGGACUAAGAACCUUGUCAUCUCCCCUCACUUUGCUUGGCAAAGUGAGUGUUUCGGUUACUGGAUUACAACUUUGGACCUUAAUAUUUUAUAUUGGACAUUGUUUUCCUGGACUAUAAUUGACCUUUCCUGAAAGGUCUUCUUCUGAACUAUAAUCUACACUUAUUUUUAUUGCCUCUACUUAUUUCCUUAAUAAAGAUAUUAGAUAGAUUCUGGCCUCUGUGUAUGGUUAUUGGUGCUCUGCAGCCUGGGUCGUGACAAUAAGUGAGACUCUACUGUAUAUUUGUUGUUGAUGUUGAUGUUUUUUACUGGGAUAAUUGUUUUAUUGCUUUGUUACUGUUAUUUGUUUGUUUUAUUGGGCCUGGCCCCAUGUAAGCCGCCCCGAGUCCCUUCGGGGAGAUGGGGCGGAGUAUAAAAAUAAAGUUAUUAUUAUUAUUAUUAUUAUUAUUAUUAUUAUUAUUAUUAUUAUUAUUUAUAAUCUUAUAGUAUCUGCUUAGAACUGGAUUAUAUGAGGCCCCUUCUACACAGCUGUAUAAAAUGCACACUGAAGUGAAUUAUCUGGAAGUGUGGACUCAAGAUAAUCUAGUUCAAAGCAGAUAAUAUAAGAUUAUAAAUGGGUAAUAUAGCUGUGUGGAAGGGCCUUGAGACUACACUGCCAUAUAAUCCAGUUAAAAUUAGAUAAUCUGUAUCUUAUAGGCAGUGUGGAAGAGGCCUGAGGCCUAACUGUGCCUGUCCCCUGGGCUGAGUAGGUUGCUAGGAGACCAAGUGGGCAGAGCCUAGCCUUGUAACUGGCAGCAAUUGGAUAAAAAACAAUUAUUCCUUUCCCUCUAAUUAGGACUUUAUUUUUCUUUUCUUUUUGUUGUAUGAACAUAGAGGCAUGGAUGAGGGGUUGUGUUGCCAAGUUUAGUGUUUCUGGGAUGUGUAGUUUUGUUGUUUUGUCCUAGGCCGAAUUUUUUUUAUCCUUUUAUAUAUAUAGAAGGUACAAUCUUAGAUGUAUAAAAGCUGUAUCAAGGUGAAUGAUCAAUGAGAGCUGGAGAUUUGGAUGUCAGUAAACCAAUGAAUUUGCUCUACAUUUUUUUCAAGACUUUAAAGCUGCUGUGAUGUCAAAAGGUAUCCUCAAAAUAUAUUCAGUACCUUGGAUACCUCAAAGUUCAGGCUAAUAGCAAGAGUGGGUUCAUUACUGCACUGAUAUGGGAGACACCACUUGCUACUGGUUCCACCUAAGUACUAAUUCAGUUGGUCCUGUUUUCUCCUGCAAAUCUACCCCAGCUCCUGUGUUAAGAGUCCAAGGCUGCCUAUCCCACACAGAAUAAGGCAGUCAUCUCCAGCAACAGAUAAUGGAAGGGGUCAGAAAGAUUAUGGAAAAUACAGUUUCAUACCAAGGAACCUUCUCCGCACUUCCUAAAUGUAACUUGUUUCCAUCUUGUGGAAUAGAUGGCAUUGGCCAUCUCCAGUGUAGAAGUAAGAUACAACUGCCAGUUAACCAGAUGUCAGUCUGACCCAUAUUUCUACAUGGAACAGAUGUGAAUGCUAUCAUGCCCUUUGCCCCAGGCAGCAAAAUGCUCCUAUCCAGUUCAUAACACAAUAUAAAUGUCUAAGUGGGAACUUUGUUUUUCUCUUGUUAAAUGGGAAUAUAUGAAGAAAUCCAAUGGGAAAUAGCCAACUGGAAAUAAUUGAACAUUUGCCAACAGAUUAAACCUUUUUCUUUAUAUGGUAGCCAUUCUACUGAAUGAGAAAUCUAGAGAGUCCUCUAUAUAGGUAUAGGAUGGAAUGACUAUCAUGAUACCCAAGAUGUCAUCAGAGUAUCAGAUCACACUUUUAAAGGCCAAAGUUAUCAUCCAACUUCUAACACCAGGGCAAACCCAUUAAAUAAGCACUUUAAUGAAGCCUAUAUCACACCUUCCAACUCAUCCAAUGGUUCCUGACAUAGGAAAAAUUAGUUAAGAAAUAUUAUAUACUUUCUGCUUUUCUUUUGAUGGAAGAAAGUGUAAAAGGUAGAUUGGGAUCUUCUGAAAAGUUGCUGUGGAUAUUUGCAUUGUAUCAGCAAGUGUUUCUAUGAGUGGCUCUUUCACUGAUUCUGUUUAGCAAUAGCUGCAGCUAAUACUGUUUUCCCUGGUCUUUCAAAUUAGGUUAUUCCAAGUUUCUUUGUAAACCAAAACAAGAACUAUAAUAAACAUGCUGCAAGAUCCUGUUUUCUUUUAAAAUACUAAUAUAUCUCUCCUACCCUUGAGAUGCAACUCCAGAGCAAUGCAUAAUGAAACUUCAGGCUUCAUUUUUUUUUUAUUUAGAGUAUAAUGCCCUUUAUGACAAUACACAAGUGGGAGAAUCUGUGGGGAACUGAAUGGUAUGUAAAAUAAUACUGUUAAAUAUAUGUAAGAUUUAGUCAUAGUGUAUGCUGUUUACUUAUAAUGCCUAAUAAACUUAUUUCACCCUAAACUAAUGUGUCCAAGUGGAAUAAGCUGUGUAGUCAUUCUAAUGCAAAGAAAAGAAAGAAAAGAAGACGGUGUAACUAAUUAAGGUUUAUUUUCCUUUAAAAAUGCCAGCAUAGAUGGAUUUGGAGAGAUCUAGUUAUAUAAUGUGAUUUACCAGGCCCUGUGUACAGCUUCUGAAAUCUUUGUCUUUCUUUCAGCCCUCAUUGGAAAUAUUAAUGGCAAUGUUGCCUUCAUCAUAUGAACUUCAUCAGAUCAUAUGGUGAAACCUUUCCAGACAUAUUGAUAAACCCGUUGAUUCCUUCCAUUCUUGUAGCCAGUGGGCAAAAGCAGAAAGGAUCAGUAGCCAUUUGACCUUCAUUGUGUAUUAAAUAAACACCAGAUGGCAAGGAUUUGGUCCGGACAUGUAUUCUUUUUCCUGGGUACUCAUGUUCACACUGCUGCUUCCCACUGAGCUUUUCUCUUGGUCUGUCAUGGCGCCAAAGCUUCAUCUAUAGUACCUUUCAUGCAUCACAGCUCUCAAAUCUUGUCCCAUUAGUUUCAUUUUGUUUCUAUCAUAAAUAAUCGACUAUGUUCUUAUACACUCUUUCAUUAUCUAAUAAUGAUUGCUCUUGGCACAAAGGAGUAAAGUUUUUACAUGGUUAGCCAGUACAGUUUUCCCAUUUAGUAUACAGCCCACUUGCUGCUUAAGAAAGAAAGCAAAAAAAUAGGUAAUUAUCCCAAAUUUAAAAAAUAGCAACAAUGCAACUUUUUUGUCUGUUAUCAUCUCGUAUCUAUCUAUCUUCUAGAUGCCUUGGGUCUCUAUUUUGGGAGAAAGGUGAGAUAAAAAUAAAGUAGCUAUCAUCUGUUU
rnacentral:lncRNA from 1 species